GACGAACGCUGGCGGCGUGCUUAACACAUGCAAGUCGAACGAUGACGACCGAGCUUGCUCUGUCUGAUUAGUGGCGAACGGGUGAGUAACACGUGAGCAACCUGCCCUUCACUCUGGGACAACCUCGGGAAAUCGGGGCUAAUACCGGCGAUGAGCUCCUGUCGCAUGGCGGGCGUUGGAACGUUUUCCGGUGAAGGAUGGGCUCGCGGCCUAUCUGUUUGUUGGUGUGGUGGUGGCUCAACAAGGCGAUGAGGGGUAGCCGGCCUGGGAGGGCGACCGGCCACACUGGGACUGAGAGACGGCCCAGACUCCUACGGGAGGCAGCAGUGGGGAAUAUUGCACAAUGGGCGAAAGCGUGAUGCAGCGACGCCGCGUGAGGGAUGACGGCCUUCGGGUGGUAAACCUCAUUCAGCAGGGAAGAAGCGAAAGUGACGGUACCUGCAGAAGAAGCGCCGGCUAACUACGUG
rnacentral:rRNA from 1 species